ensembl:rRNA 5S_rRNA 5S ribosomal RNA
GCUUACAGUCACACUACCCUGAGAACGCCUGAUCUCGGAAGCUAAGCAUGGUUUGGCCUGGUUAGUACUUGGAUGGGAGCACACCUGGGAAUACCAGGUGGUGUAAGCU